AUUCCUCUCCUUGUGGCCUUGUCUACACACAGACUCAGCCAAAAGUUGUUGUGCAGACAAGGCCUAAGCCUCUGGACUUGCCUUUUCUAUGUAUAUUGCCUGUGUGAAUCAAUGUUACUGGCUGGGGUUAGUUUUCAGUUGUACUUUUUAGUGCGUGAAAAAUCCAUUGCGUUGUCGCUAUUUGAAAUCAGUAGAUAUAAACGGAAAAUCCAGGUGACUUUUACAUAACCUAGUGUCUUACAUAAAUCAAAACACAAGGUCAUGAAGUUGAACACUUGUGAAGUUAUAGUGCAGAAUAACAGAGCAAAGCACAAAAACAAUAGCUCCAACCUCCUGCUUACAUACAGGGCUAUUAAUAAUUAAGCAAACAUAGGAAGCAGACAAAUAAUGUAUCUAUACCAGAGCUUUUUCCAUCAAAUUACAAUGGUAGGAAUAUUAAUGUUGCCUGAGUGCUGGCUUUAUAACCAUCAUAUCAUCUAACCCUGCUCAGGAUACAUCUAGAGUAGGAAUCCUCAACCUGUGGGGUCACAAACAAGUGUAAGGAGGUCAAAGAGUUUAAGGCCAGAAGGGCCCACCAAUUCAUCUGGUCUGACCUCCUAUAUAUUGUGAUCAACUUGUCCUUCCCAUGUUGCUCAAUGGUAGGAGAGUCCUGGCUAGAUCCUGGUAUUAGGGGUGAUGACUGUGACAGAUAUUACAACCCCCUGCAAUGUCUUUGGGUACCAUAUUGUAUUAAGUGUAUGAAUGACUUAUGUGUCCCUGUGGGCCAUGGACUGUAUGUAACUCCAGGAGGAGGGACGUUACCACAGUUCCUCCAGGAACCCAAAACAGUGGGGGGUGAUUAAGUUGAAUCACUUAGCGUGUCCAGAGAGGUACCAUCCCUGGGGUAGUUUGCAUAUAUUGGUUCAAACUGGGUUUUCCAGAAACCAACACACAAAGAAAGGGCUUUUGAUAAUAAAAGGUUGCAUUUAAACUGACUCCGGGCCUUCUUUCUUGAGCCUUCAGAUGGACAGGACCUUCUAUCCAUGGGGUGCCCCAACCCAUGCGGAAGGGUUGGAAAGAGUGCAGCACACUAGAAACCCAUAAGAUGGAUGGUGACCUCUGGGUGUCUCUGUGGAUAAACGCUGUGCUGACAAGACUGGAGUCCUGCAAAGCUUGAAGGCAGGAAAUGAAAUAGGAUGCACAAUCCCGGAAGCCUGAAGUGUCCCUCAGGGGAGGCUUUCCCUAGAUGAGCCAGGAAGUAAAAUAUUGAUCAAGUCUUGCCAAGAAAAAUCUUUCUCCAGAAAAUCCUCUUGGGCUUUGAGUCCUGGUGGAAUGUGUUCUCGUUCCCCCUCUCUCUCUUUCUUCCCUUCCUCUUUCCCAAAUUCUUUUUAAAGAGGAUUGUUCCAGCCCAGCUAAUUCGGGAGUAUCACACUAACUGGUAUUAUUUAUGGAUUCUUGUAAGGUAUAGAGGACAGGGAUUGUCUGUCUGCAUGUGUACCUUAUUUAGCAGUCUGGGCCCUGAUACUGAAUGGGGCCUUUAGCUGCUACUGUAAUAUAAACAUUGAUGAGCCUCAACUAAAGUUGGCCCUACCAGGUGAGGAGGGGCCUGGUGUGGUGUGGGGCAAGCCAAGUCUCCUUACCUUUCAUUGUUGUAAUGCUGUCUAGCGUACCCAAAUGGCCUCCAUUGCCAUAGGUUCUGAGCACCUCACAAACACCCCUGUGAAGUAGGGCAGUACUAUUAAACCCAUCCUACAGAUGAGGAACUGAGGCACGGCGAGACUGACUUGCCCAAAGUCAUAGAGCAAGUCUACCUUGGAGGAGGCAAAAGCAGAACUGAGAGAUCCUGAAUCCCAGUCUAGAGCCUUAAGCACAAAGUCAUUCAGCAGCAUUUACUGCUACUGUCCAGGGCAGUCGGUCCACUUUCACCCAGAUGAAAUUCACAGAGCUAUAAACCCCCCAGCCCUUUCUCUGCAAUAUCUCACAUGCAUUUUUAAUACCAUAACAUGCAUAAGGAUCAAAAAUGCUUUCCAUUUAAUCUCUGAGGAUAAGCAAGAAGGAUUCAACGUGCCAAAACCUAUAGGGCUUUCUGUCUUCCUUAUAGGCUCCAAAAUAACCUCUAAGCACCUUUCAAGUGAUUAGCCCCAACUGAAGGAUGGGAUGUUAGCAGGCACAAGAGUCUUGCUAUCUAGACUUGCUAAGUCUUUCAUAGCAAAACCUUUUAUCCUGCUCUCAAGAGCUGAUUUUGACUCCAAUAUUCUAUGACCAGGGUAAAAGCUUCCCUAGAGCGUAAAUAUGGGCUGUCCCCAAAUAUGAGCUUCCAGGUGCCAGAAAAAUUCUCUUAAAGGGUGAGGGGUUUUUUGCAAGUCAGUAACUUUUGCACAUCAAGUCAAUGACCUGUGCAGAUGUGUAAAAUAGGCACACAAAUCGAAAGCCUCAUUGUCCAAAUAGACUCUGGGAGCAGGAAAGCUCCAUGCCCAAUGAUACAGUAUUUGGGGGCUCGAUAGUACUGAGCCAUUUUUAAGAGGGUGUUUUUUAUAUCUUCCAUACAUGCCUUAUUUUUGUUCUAACAUUUUAUUAUAAUGUCUUGCUAUUGACAGUGAAGUGCUCUGAGAGUUAAUGUAAAACAGUCUUACAUUUUGUGUGUUUUGGGUUAUUUGUUUAAGCUUCUAUUAGGCUUGUCAUGUGAGUCAUCAGACAAAAAUGUGAAAAGGGAAAAAAAAUUGUCUACAUGUUCAUACUGGGCGGUGAAAACAAGAUUCAUGAAUACCUCACAUAGGGGAUUGUUCUUUGUUUUCAAGGGAAACUGAAUCCCCUGGUCAAGGAAGACUUUAGUGUGAUAACUGAAACUAAUUUAUUAUAGCUCUUUAUCAAGACAUUAGUUUUGUGUUUCCCACUGAUCUCCAGGCUCCUUUAUAUUCUUGUUUAAAGCUCUGAAAUUAUCUAGCCCAUUUGGUGACUUCUAGAUGUAAUGCUCUGGAUACAUCAACUCCCAGUUACUAAUCAGGACUUUAGAGUAACCAAACGGGAGCCUAGAUCCUAGACAAUAUAAGCCAGGUUUUUUCACUUAGUGCAGUGAAUGCUGGGAUGGGACUUUAGAAUUUUAGUCAGUAUAGUCAGGCUACUCAAGCAGUGCAGAUGUGACCAAUAAAUCCCAUAGCUGUGUAAUUCACUGUUAAGGAAUGCUUUGCUUUAAGAAACUCUCAGUUACUGGGAACGCAACUUCUGAACUGGAGCCUUUAGCUGUGGUGCCCUUGAAUUGUGUUGCUCAAGAAACACAGUUACUAUCUCCAUUUUUGAAGAGCAAGUGACAGGCAUAGUGUGUUUGUGUUUUCUGUGGUGUCUCCCAUUCAGUUCUGCUGUGGGACCUAUUACAUGACCAGGGUUGUAUAAAAUAUAGCAAAAGCAAAUAUAUAAAAGGAGAUUAUCUUGUACUGUAUCAGUCAAACAGCUCUGCCUCCUGCUGCGACUGAGGGAAGAAGAGAAGCAUCGUGUUUCAAUAAUUUAGAAGUAGGUGUUCUGGAACUUCAGUGAUGAUCCCACUAGUUUCUGGUGAGGCCAAUACUUAGUAAUGGACAGCGAAAAGCUCCUCUGCAUGUAAUUCAAGUGUCUACCAUUCCCAACCAGAGAAAGGAUAGAGAUCUGCUGCAGAACUUGCAUCCCUCCAACCCACCUGCUUAUAGGAUUAUCUUCAGUGGAGUCAGGUGGGUGACAGGAGGAAAUCAAAUGAACAGAAAACCUUUUUUUUUUUUU